GAUGAACGCUGGCGGCGUGCUUAACACAUGCAAGUCGAACGGAAAGGCCCAAGCUUGCUUGGGUACUCGAGUGGCGAACGGGUGAGUAACACGUGGGUGAUCUGCCCUGCACUUCGGGAUAAGCCUGGGAAACUGGGUCUAAUACCGGAUAGGACCACAUUUUGGAUGGUGUGGUGGAAAGAUUUUCGGUGUGGGAUGAGCUCGCGGCCUAUCAGCUUGUUGGUGGGGUAAUGGCCUACCAAGGCGUCGACGGGUAGCCGGCCUGAGAGGGUGUACGGCCACAUUGGGACUGAGAUACGGCCCAGACUCCUACGGGAGGCAGCAGUGGGGAAUAUUGCACAAGGGGCGCAAGCCUGAUGCAGCGACGCCGCGUGGGGGAUGACGGCCUUCGGGUUGUAAACUCCUUUCGCUAGGGACGAAGCGUUAUGUGACGGUACCUGGAGAAGAAGCACCGGCUAACUACGUG
rnacentral:rRNA from 1 species